rnacentral:rRNA from 1 species
GACGGACGGUGCAAGCGUUGCUCGGAAUCACUGGGCGUAAAGGGUGCGUAGGCGGCUUGGUGGGUCUGGUGUGAAAGCCCCGGGCUCAGCCCGGGAAGGGCGCUAGAAACUGCCGAGCUCGAGUGCCGGAGGGGAGAGUGGAAUUCCUGGUGUAGCGGUGAAAUGCGUAGAUAUCAGGAGGAAUACCGGUGGCGAAAGCGACUCUCUGGACGGCAACUGACGCUGAGGCACGAAAGCGUGGGGAGCAAACAGG